CUUUCUGUAUUUUCUCUCUCCUUGCUCUUUUUGCUUUGUUACUUUUGAAAAAAUCUCACAACCCAAAUAACAAUAUAAAGGUAAAGCGCUGUCGUAUGCAUUUUGUGUGAGAGUUUGGUGAAAAUGAGACCGUUUGAACCACGGGUUGUGGCUCCGCCACCGCCACCGCCACCGCCUGAAUCUGCUCUUCAAGCUCCGCCGUCUGAAUCAGUAGUUCAAGUUCCUCCUGAAUUGCCGAUGCUAGUCGUAGAGUUCUGCUUGACAGCAGCUUUUGAAAUUGCCAUCCGAUCCACCCAGACUCCUACUACGCAAUACUACUCUAUAACCUUCCACUUGCUGUGUCUGGUAAUGGUGUUUGCGUUUGCUUUUAUCUUUGUUGCCAAAUACAUUUCUUCCAAGCACCCAAACCUAGGCCGCGUGCUCGAGCACGCUGGAGUAGUCUGUGGAGUUACCGCUUUCUUUGUUGCCAUCACAGUCUCUUUCCCGCUCUGCCUCAAGGGAUUGGAAAUAAAAAAAGAAGCAUGAAAUGGAAUAACAGAUACAUCUCUUAUUGAACAUAACUUCAAAAGCUUGAUAAGUGAUGACCUUUCAAUGAUCUUUGGUGCUAUUACUGGAAUAAGACAACCAACUUUACUGGAUAAUUGUACUUGAUUAACUGGCAUAAGCAAAUAAUAUGAAGUACCAUGCACUUAGAAGAAUACUUGCAUGUUGAAGGCAGUGAAGCUGUAAUAUCUACUCAGACAAUUCUCGCAUCCUAAUUAUCUCUAGCAUGUGAGUGAUUUUAUCUAUACAUUAUCCACUUAUUAUGUAAAUGAAUUCAAAUUUCCAGUCGCAGGAUGUUGAUAAAUGAAACACUGUCAACUGCAAAUCCUUGGACUUGCCAAAAAAAGAAAAAAAAAAGAGAUUUCAAAUGAGAGAUUGGUUAGGACUUGGUGCGCACAUCAAAAAUCAGUGACUUGCUUGACAUUUUCCAGCGAUGAUUCAUUUCUUAUUUCUGGUUCAGAAGAUGGCAUGAUCAUUAUUUGGCCUAUGAUCGGGAAAAAUAAAUAACUGACUUUGUAAUCACAUUGUUUGGUGGAAGUUUGGUAGACGAGACAGAUUGUUGGACUGUGGCUUUAAAACUAAAUUUUUCGUUGGAGCUUUCAUCCUCUAUAACGGGCCUAUUACCUGCAUCAAGUGGCUCAAGUUCAAUUUUUUUAUCAAGAUCCCUCGAUGGCACAUGCAAGGUAUGGGACCUUGUUACUGGAAGACUUUUACAAACUCGAGCUUUUCCACUACCAAUUACUACAAUAGUUGUUGAUCCAACAGAGAUGAAGUUAUUUUCUGAUGGUAUAGAUUACUAGUGGAUAUUUCUCUUUUGUAUACGGAGGACAUCAUUUUUGUAUGAUUAUCUGUUUGUAUGGAAUUAUUAUUUUGGGUUGGAUUAUGUUUGGUUUGUAUAGAAUUUGAUGUUACAAGACCAAAUUUUUGGAUGGUUGAAAGUGAAAUAGAAAUAGGCAUAUG